ensembl:rRNA 5S_rRNA 5S ribosomal RNA
GCCAGCAGCCAUAUCACCCUGAAACUCACAACUGGCAACCCACUGAAGCUAAGCAGGUGCAAGCCUGGUCAGUACCUGGAUGGGAGACCUCCUGGGAAAAACUAAGGUUGCUGCUGGAA